UAGGGAAUAUUAGAAAUGGACGAAAGUCUGAUCUAGCAACACCGCGUGUGCGAUGAAGGCCUUCGGGUCGUAAAGCACUUUUUGGAAGGAAUAGGAAGGAAUGUACUUCCAGAAUAAGUCUCGGCUAACUACGUGCCAGCAGCCGCGGUAACACGUAGGAGGCAAACGUUAUCCGGAUUUACUGGGCGUAAAGCGCGUGUAGGUGGUACUGUAAGUAGGGCGUGAAAGCUCCUGGCUCAACUGGGAGAGGCCGUGCUAAACUACAGA
rnacentral:rRNA from 1 species